rnacentral:hammerhead_ribozyme from 1 species
ACCCAGCUGACGAGUCCCACAUAGGGCGAAACCCGUGUACUGGAA